rnacentral:sRNA from 1 species
GCUCUACCAUUUGAGCUACAUCCCCACGAU